rnacentral:rRNA from 1 species
CCCUUCGGGGGCAACGGUGACAGGUGGUGCAUGGUUGUCGUCAGCUCGUGUCGUGAGAUGUUGGGUUAAGUCCCGCAACGAGCGCAACCCUUGAUCUUAGUUGCCAUCAUUUAGUUGGGCACUCUAAGGUGACUGCCGGUGACAAACCGGAGGAAGGUGGGGAUGACGUCAAAUCAUCAUGCCCCUUAUGACCUGGGCUACACACGUGCUACAAUGGACGAUACAAACGGUUGCCAACUCGCGAGAGGGAGCUAAUCCGAUAAAGUCGUUCUCAGUUCGGAUUGUAGGCUGCAACUCGCCUACAUGAAGCCGGAAUCGCUAGUAAUCGCGGAUCAGCAUGCCGCGGUGAAUACGUUCCCGGGCCUUGUACACACCGCCCGUCACACCACGAGAGUUUGUAACACCCGAAGUCGGUGAGGUAACCU